rnacentral:rRNA from 1 species
UACGUAGGGGGCUAGCGUUGUCCGGAUUUAUUGGGCGUAAAGAGCGUGUAGGCGGCUAGAUAGGUCCGUUGUGAAAACUCGAGGCUCAACCUCGAGACGUCGAUGGAAACCAUCUGGCUAGAGUCCGGAAGAGGAGAGUGGAAUUCCUGGUGUAGCGGUGAAAUGCGCAGAUAUCAGGAAGAACACCCGUGGCGAAGGCGGCUCUCUGGUACAUGACUGACGCUGAGACGCGAAAGCGUGGGGAGCAAACAGG